UAUGUAUGUGCACGCAUGAUAUCAUGCCAAUUUUCUUGUCGAAUGUACAUAAGAGCACACACUCGUUUGAUUGCAUAUCCAUUAUUUUGCGUGUGCUCACGGCGUUGUAAGUAAUACCCCUCCCCUUUUCUCGCUCUUU
ensembl:ncRNA T10A3.5 ncRNA